UUGAUUCAGAGGACGGUUGAUCACCACUACCACCACCACCCCCACCAACUCCUUUAGAGCCACGAGGGACAUAAAGAACCCAACCGAUAUCAAUAAACACAGUGUUAUUCUCCAGCAGCUGAUUCAAGCUCACCAUGCUGGGCAAGCUAGCAUGAAACCUCUGACCAAUAUCAGACAAAGUAUCACCAUUCUGAACAGUAUACGUCACAAUCUGAUCCCCGUUGCCAUCU
rnacentral:lncRNA from 1 species